GGUGUGUGUGCGAGCGCAGGCGGGGAGGGGGCUCGCUUAGCACCCGGAGGCCCUGCUCGCAGGUCCCGGGGUCCCGGUGGCGGCCGGAGCGCUCAGUCCGCAGGCGGCCGGCGGGUAGACCCCCUCCCGCCCCACGCGCGCGCCGGCCUUACCCCCGGCCACCCUCCUCGGCUCCCGCGCGGCGGUGGUUCCUCCCCCUCCCCCAGCCCUGGCUCCGGGGGACCCCGCGAUGCCGGUCCGCACCGAGUGUCCCCCGCCGGCCGGUGCCUCGGCCACCUCCGCCGCCUCGCUCAUCCCGCCGCCGCCCAUCAACACGCAGCAGCCCGGCGUGGCCACCAGCCUGCUCUACAGCGGCUCUAAGUUCCGCGGCCACCAGAAGAGCAAGGGUAACUCGUACGACGUGGAGGUGGUGCUGCAGCACGUGGACACGGGGAACUCGUACCUCUGUGGGUAUCUGAAGAUCAAAGGCCUUACUGAGGAGUAUCCAACCCUCACGACCUUCUUUGAAGGAGAAAUAAUCAGCAAAAAGCACCCUUUCUUAACCCGGAAGUGGGAUGCAGACGAGGAUGUUGACCGCAAGCACUGGGGCAAGUUUCUGGCUUUUUAUCAGUAUGCAAAAUCGUUUAAUUCAGACGACUUUGAUUACGAAGAGCUGAAGAGUGGGGACUAUGUCUUCAUGAGGUGGAAGGAGCAGUUCCUGGUCCCGGACCACACGAUCAAGGACAUCAGCGGUGCUUCCUUUGCCGGCUUUUACUACAUCUGUUUCCAGAAGUCGGCGGCCUCCAUAGAGGGCUACUAUUACCACAGGAGCUCGGAAUGGUAAGGACCGGCCGCCACGGCCUCGUGUCUCGAGGGGCUCGCUUCCGUCCACAGGGCAGUGUAAACAAGGUAUCAGUCGCUCAAUCUCACUCAUGUUCCAGAACACAGCGCGCCCAUCUACGAAUUCCGGUGACAGCGGUCCGGGACAGCAACCAGAUAAACUGAACUUGGCAAAAAAGAAAUUUGCCAAGAAAACUGUGUACCUGCCAGAACCAGGAGAACGUGUGUUCCUGUUUCUUCACGAGCAGACUCGCAUCAGAAAGCAUGAAUGUCAACCCACGGCAUCCGAGGCGUGCGGCCGACCGGCGAGGGCAGGUGGAGGGCGGCCUCGGUUCCUCUUCCCUCUCUGUGGCAGUUUGGUCUUAAGCUGUUUUUAAGCUACCGUAAAUGCACUUUUCCUCCUGCACAGCUGACUUCUGUAUCACUGAGACGCACAUCCCUUCCCCCACGCCCCCUCCAGCCCCGGCCCCCCUCGGCCUUGGUGCUCAGUGGGCCCCACCAGGCCCCCCGCCCCCCGGUUGCUCACUCUGGUAGCUCAAGGGACGGCCGAGCCCAGCAGCCGUGUGCCCCCGGAGCCCUGUGCAGGGAGGUGGCCGAUCGCUCGGUGGGGUUGGGGCACUGCCAGCCCUGGGAUGCUCACGCUGAGCUAGUCAGUGGCCAGCAGCUUCCCCGGGCCUGCUGUCCAGGUCACAGGAUUUAAGGCUUCCCGAUCCCUGGCAGGGACAGAUUCCCGUCCUGCUCACUCAGCACGUUUGCUCCAAACUUUUGAACUUGAGGGCAAUACUAAACUUAAAAAAAAAAAAAAAAAAAAAAAGGUUUUUUUAUUACAAAAUUAUUUUUAUGGUCCCUUGAACAAGGACCCUAUGGCAAAUGCACAAUUAUUCAGAAUUACAUUUUAUCGUUUUCACAUUGAAAACAGCAAAUGUUGACUUAGUAGUUUUUAUACCUAUAUCUAUUUGUAAAUGUAUAUUUAAUCAGCCAGCAGUUUGAAACUGGUCAUGUGGUACAGAAGUUUUGCAGCAUUGCGUCAGUCACAGCGCUAAACGUGAGAGCCGUUUUGGGGGCCGGUUUAGCAUUUGUGCGUCCUCCUUUCGCUACUCAGAACAGCAGUGCUUCGUGGCGCCCUGUCCCGUCAGGCAGCUCAGCAGCGUUGGCGUGGGGGAGGGGUGGGAGCAUAUGAGCACUCCCAAAGAGCUCGAGGCUCACGUGCCAAAGUGUGUGUGUGUCUGUGCGCGUGCGCGUGCAGUUGUGUCGUUUAAAUGUUUAGAAAGCCUCAUAGCGUGGCAUCCGCUGUAGCCCGCAGAUGUGGGCAGGGCUUGGGGGAUUGGCAUUUGCUGGUGCUUUACAAGACUUGCUCAGAAUACUGGAGGGAAAGCUUUAACAACGAGGUAGUAUUUUAACCCACGGGAGCAAAACAAACGCGAGGUGCAUGUCCACGGGCGGAGUAAGAAAGCACAAAGCCCUUCCGUCUAGGUGCGUGGUGGGGCAAUCUCUUAUUCCCAAGAAGUGACUUUCGUUUAUUGACGUACGUACUGUAUGUUCCUGAGGUUGAGUCAGGAGAAGCCUUAAAGGAGAAGUGUUGGGGAAGGUGGUGGGUGGGUGUCAGGGCCGCUGGGCUGUGUGGUCCUGAAGCUCCCUGCAGGGAUGCACCUGGAAAGGCCAGGGCCUGGGGCCCCUGGAAAGUUGCCUGGUGGCUGCAUUGGAGAGAUGCUUCACGUCUGUCUCCAGAGAUGAGUCAGAAAUGUUUCCCAGAUUUUAAAACUCCCAAAGGCAGUGGAGUGGCUGGCUCUGGUCAAUCCCAGCUGGGGGCACAAGGCCUGGGCCAGCGCCGCAGGGUGUAACCAGCUCCUGGAAGGGUUCAGGUGCCACUCAGAAUGCCGCGGGUGAGGUCCGCCUGGAGCCUGUCGGGGCUGCGUGCGCGUCCUCCAGCGGGCAGGGCGGGGUGUCUGCGCGGCGCUGCUGCCCGGGCGGGCCGGGCUUUGUUGUGGGCUGGCUUCCUUGCUGAGCCAGGGGUCAAGUGCAGCGGUGUUCGGGGGUGAAGAAGUGGUACCCUUUGCCAGCUCUUUGGGACACACCUGUGAUGAAGAUUGGUUCUCGUACAAACCUGUCUGUCGAGGAUGCAGAAGGGGUGGUCUCCACAUCCCCUGAGUAACUCCCAGACCACCUGCCCUGACUUAGCUCCCGAAGGAGCUCGGGCGGUCAUCCCCAGCCCAGGUUAUUCUUUCCUGGGCCUUCUCGUAAACCCACAUGCCUCUGCUUCUAUGUGCAGUGUUUUUGGUUGACCCUUGUAUUCAUCGUUGAGAAACGAGGGCAGAUGCACACUCCCUGCCAUCUCCCCUACCCCAUCCUCAGGACUCAGCUCCUGCUCUGCUCAGAUGCCCUCCACCCCGCACUCUCAGCCUCGCCACUGCUGCUGAUGUCGUCCCUUCCCACCCACCCAUCCUUUCAGACUCGACGGCAUCUCAGCUGCGGUCCCACGGUAACGAAGCGAUGCCUCCCGUGAAGCAGACGGUCCAUCUGCCUGCUGGCUCUGUGGUGAUGUGCACGGCACGAACUGCAGGGGAGCAAAGGGGGCUUUUCAAUGUCUUUUGCUUUCAGAAACAGGGAAUUUAUAUUCUAAGGCCUUGAAUUGAUUUUUUUUUCCUCAUAAAUAGUCAGAUAAGCUAAUUUUUAAAAAGAAAUGCCAUUGAGUAUGUGCAUUGUGGUUUAAAAUUACUAACGAGUUCUGGGAAAGAAAAGUAAUAUUUGAUUUUGAAUCUUACAUGUUUUUAAAAAUUAGAUUUGAAUGGGCAAAAAGUAUUUUGUUUCUUUAGGGAGUACAUGUGGAAAGGGUUUGAGGGUUUGGGACGGGAGAAGUAUUUUGCAGAGCUAUCAAUGUCCAAAUAAUUUUUAAAAAAUAAUAAAGGUAUUUAAGCAGUGA